rnacentral:rRNA from 2 species
AUUGAACGCUGGCGGCAGGCCUAACACAUGCAAGUCGAGCGGCAGCGGGAAAGUAGCUUGCUACUUUUGCCGGCGAGCGGCGGACGGGUGAGUAAUGCCUGGGGAUCUGCCCAAUCGAGGGGGAUAACUACUGGAAACGGUAGCUAAUACCGCAUACGCCCUACGGGGGAAAGCAGGGGACCUUCGGGCCUUGCGCGAUUGGAUGAACCCAGGUGGGAUUAGCUAGUUGGUGAGGUAAUGGCUCACCAAGGCGACGAUCCCUAGCUGGUCUGAGAGGAUGAUCAGCCACACUGGAACUGAGACACGGUCCAGACUCCUACGGGAGGCAGCAGUGGGGAAUAUUGCACAAUGGGGGAAACCCUGAUGCAGCCAUGCCGCGUGUGUGAAGAAGGCCUUCGGGUUGUAAAGCACUUUCAGCGAGGAGGAAAGGUGG